AUGAAGGCGUACACGACGGCCGAGGACAAGCUUCUUUGCGAGUGUUGGCGAGACAUUGGACAAGACCAGAAGACGGGCGCCGAGCAAAAGCAUUCGACCUUUUGGACUCGUGUGCACCGAGAGUUCCAUAAGCGCAAGAAGUUUCCACCUUACCAAUUUGUGAGCACGUGCGGGUGGGUCUUCAUUUCCAAGCGGUGGCGGGUGAUCCAACAAGAGUGCAACAAGUUUUGCGCCACCCUUGAGAGCGUCAAGGCCCGCCCCGUGAGCGGCAUCGGCAUGCAAGACAUGGUAUGA
rnacentral:rRNA from 1 species